GCCCAGUUAGCUUGGUUGGUAGCGCGUCUGCCUUGUAAGCGCCAGGCCGCGGGUUAUAUUCCCGCCCGGGGCG
rnacentral:tRNA from 1 species